AAACCCAAAGGCGAAGUGAAAGUAAAAAAGUGGAAAAUUGGGAAAAGAUUUAAAUUCUUUUCUCCAAUUUCCAUUGAGGGAAGAUGGAAAGCCUUAUAUCAAAUUAAACUGUUUCAGUUUUUUUUUUUAUAAAAAGUUUUCUCGCAUUCCCAGGGCGCUUGUUUCUCGCCUUGCGAGUCUAUGCGCACCUAGAGCGUACACGCUGAUACCCGAAAGAUGGUGAACUAUGCCUGGCCAGGACGAAGCCAGGGGAAACCCUGGUGGAGGUCCGCAGCGAUUCUGACGUGCAAAUCGAUCGUCGGAGCUGGGUAUAGGGGCGAAAGACCAAUCGAACCAUCUAGUAGCUGGUUCCCUCUGAAGUUUCCCUCAGGAUAGCUUGCGCUCAGUUAAAACGAGUCUCAUCCGGUAGAGCGAAUGAUUAGAGGCAUUGGGGUCGAAACGACCUCAACCUAUUCUCAAACUCCAAAUAGAKAWGACCCCCGSCKUUCUUAAAAAUGAAGCCGUGGGAGUUGGAUCAGAGUGCCAAGUGGGCCAAUUUU
rnacentral:rRNA from 1 species